rnacentral:rRNA from 1 species
UACGUAGGGUGCAAGCGUUAAUCGGAAUUACUGGGCGUAAAGCGUGCGCAGGCGGUGAUGUAAGACAGAUGUGAAAUCCCCGGGCUCAACCUGGGAACUGCAUUUGUGACUGCAUCGCUCGAGUGUGGCAGAGGGGGAUGGAAUUCCGCGUGUAGCAGUGAAAUGCGUAGAUAUGCGGAGGAACACCGAUGGCGAAGGCAAUCCCCUGGGCCUGCACUGACGCUCAUGCACGAAAGCGUGGGGAGCAAAAGGG